UUUGGUUUUCUUAAACCAAAAGAGUGGAUUUCUACCCCUUUUUUAGCUAGAAGUGCAGAAGGAUGGAGAAAUUAAGUGAAGCCAGCUUCAUGAUAAUCAUCACUCUUUAGAAAUGAGAUGCAUAUAUUUAAGAGUAGAAGGAUGGAGAAACCAAGUGAAGCCAGCUUCAUGCUAAUCAUCACUCUUUAGAAAUGAGAUUCAUAGCACUGAACCUGACCUUUUGCAUAGAAAAGAUCCUCAGAAGAUUAAUAAUUUUGAUGAAAAACUGGUGUAGUAUUUUAUGAUCCUUGCAUCAAAUAGCCAAUGAUGAGCAUAGAGAAGGAACUAAUGCUCAAGUAGAAUAACAAGGAAAGCAAGAACAAUCCAAAAGUAGACUAGUGAUGUCACGAGCCAGAUUCGGAGCAUAAUUUGUCGCGCCCUAGAUCCGGAGCAUGACAUAGCUAUGCUACCGAGGGGCACAGCUCACGAUAACACGAAGCCAAUAUUAUAUUUAACUUUCAGAUCCAUCUCAAAUAUAAUAAAAUCAUUAAGAAUCCAAUUUCAUUAUUCAUUAGAUAAAAACUAAUAUUAACUCAGAACGUUUAAAUCUAAAUAUAAAUAUCAAACUCAUAAUCCUUACUACUCAAAAAAUCACUCACUACAAUUUCAUAAUCAACUGAAGAACUAAGGUUCUGCUCUGUUAUAUAGAUCACCAAGCUUGCUAGCGCGAAUUACAAGCCGUGACCAUCCUUUGUUUCUAUCGAUUCUAUUCGUCUGGAGAGAGAAAAAUAAAAAUAGAGGUAUAUGAGUGACAUACCUCAAUAAGUAAACUUUCACUACCUUUCCGGAUCAAACAUAAGUUUUUUCAUGUUAAUUCAUCAUUUAAGAAAAAUAUCAGAUAUUCCACAAUAAGCAUUUCAUAAUAUGGUGUAUUAAAAACAUGUCAUAAAGCCAUUCAUGCAUACGUAA
rnacentral:lncRNA from 1 species